rnacentral:rRNA from 1 species
AACGAACGCUGGCGGCAGGCCUAACACAUGCAAGUCGAGCGAGGACUUCGGUCCUAGCGGCGGACGGGUGAGUAACGCGUGGGAACGUGCCCUUUGCUACGGAAUAGCCCCGGGAAACUGGGAGUAAUACCGUAUGUGCCCUUAGGGGGAAAGAUUUAUCGGCAAAGGAUCGGCCCGCGUUGGAUUAGGUAGUUGGUGGGGUAAUGGCCUACCAAGCCGACGAUCCAUAGCUGGUUUGAGAGGAUGAUCAGCCACACUGGGACUGAGACACGGCCCAGACUCCUACGGGAGGCAGCAGUGGGGAAUCUUAGACAAUGGGCGCAAGCCUGAUCUAGCCAUGCCGCGUGAGCGAUGAGGGCCUUAGGGUUGUAAAGCUCUUUCAGGGGGGAAGAUAAUGACUGUACCCCCAGAAGAAGCCCCGGCUAACUCCGUGCCAGCCGCCGCGGUAACAC